rnacentral:rRNA from 1 species
AACGAACGCUGGCGGCAUGCCUAACACAUGCAAGUCGAACGAGACCUUCGGGUCUAGUGGCGCACGGGUACGUAACGCGUGGGAACCUGCCCUUAGGUUCGGAAUAACUCCCCGAAAGGGGUGCUAAUACCGGAUAAUGUCUUCGGACCAAAGAUUUAUCGCCUUUGGAUGGGCCCGCGUUGGAUUAGCUAGUUGGUAGGGUAAAAGCCUACCAAGGCGACGAUCCAUAGCUGGUCUGAGAGGAUGAUCAGCCACACUGGGACUGAGACACGGCCCAGACUCCUACGGGGGGCAGCAGUGGGGAAUAUUGGACAAUGGGCGAAAGCCUGAUCCAGCAAUGCCGCGUGAGUGAUGAAGGCCUUAGGGUUGUAAAGCUCUUUUACCCGGGAUGAUAAUGACAGUACCGGGAGAAUAAGCUCCGGCUAACUCCGUG